rnacentral:rRNA from 1 species
GGAUCAGUGGGUCGGUCGUGCCACUGGUAUGUACUGGCCCUACUGGUUCCUCCUUCUUGAGGAACUGUGAUGCCAUUAAUUUGGUGUUGCAGGGAAACAGGACUGUUACUUUGAAAAAAUUAGAGUGUUCAAAGCGGGGCCUUGCCCGAAUACAUUAGCAUGGAAUAAUGGAAUAGGACGUGCGGUUCUAUUUCGUUGGUUUCUAGAGUCGCCGUA